rnacentral:rRNA from 1 species
CACUCCUGCGGGAGGCAGCAGUGGGGAAUAUUGGACAAUGGGCGCAAGCCUGAUCCAGCCAUGCCGCGUGAGUGAUGAAGGCCCUAGGGUUGUAAAGCUCUUUCACCGGUGAAGAUAAUGACGGUAACCGGAGAAGAAGCCCCGGCUAACUUCGUGCCAGCAGCCGCGGUAAUACGAAGGGGGCUAGCGUUGUUCGGAUUUACUGGGCGUAAAGCGCACGUAGGCGGACUAUUAAGUCAGGGGUGAAAUCCCGGGGCUCAACCCCGGAACUGCCUUUGAUACUGGUAGUCUUGAGUUCGAGAGAGGUGGGUGGAAUUCCGAGUGUAGAGGUGAAAUUCGUAGAUAUUCGGAGGAACACCAGUGGCUAAGGCGGCUCACUGGCUCGAUACUGACGCUGAGGUGCGAAAGCGUGGUGAGCAAACAGGAUGAGAAACCCCUGUAGUCCCAUGA